rnacentral:rRNA from 1 species
GAUGAACGCUGGCGGCGUGCUUAACACAUGCAAGUCGAACGGAGUGCCUUAGAAAGAGGAUUCGUCCAAUUGAUAAGGUUACUUAGUGGCGGACGGGUGAGUAACGCGUGAGGAACCUGCCUCGGAGUGGGGAAUAACAGACCGAAAGGCCUGCUAAUACCGCAUAAUGCAGUUGGACCGCAUGGUCCUGACUGCCAAAGAUUUAUCGCUCUGAGAUGGCCUCGCGUCUGAUUAGCUUGUUGGCGGGGUAAUGGCCCACCAAGGCGACGAUCAGUAGCCGGACUGAGAGGUUGGCCGGCCACAUUGGGACUGAGACACGGCCCAGACUCCUACGGGAGGCAGCAGUGGGGAAUAUUGGGCAAUGGGCGCAAGCCUGACCCAGCAACGCCGCGUGAAGGAAGAAGGCUUUCGGGUUGUAAACUUCUUUUCUCAGGGACGAACAAAUGACGGUAC